rnacentral:lncRNA from 1 species
UAAUGAGGAUGCCUGGUAGGCAGUCGGCUCCUGCCUGGACUGCCAACAAAUCUGGGCCAGAGGGAGUGUUGGCAGUGAGGACAAGGAGCAGCCUCACUUGCAGCUAAACUUGACAUAUGUGACUAAGCUCUGGAGGUGGAUGUGAGCUCUGAAAGCUGUCAGGAUAAAAAUAAAACCACGGUGUCUAUCCUGAAAGGAAGAAUG